ensembl:lncRNA novel transcript
UCUAAGCGUAUUUCGUCCCCGGUUCCGCCGCAGGUGCCGGCUAUGCCAUCGGCGACUUACUCUUCUAAGCGUAUUUUGUUCCUGGUUCCGCCGCAGGUUCCGGCCACGCGAUUGGCAACGUGCUCUUCUAAGCGUAUUUUGUUCCUGGUUCCACCACAGGUCCCCGCCAUACCAUCAGCAACCUGCUCGUCUUGUCCGUGAGGCCUUCCCAGCUGGCUGGGCUCACCCCAUGGCUCCUGCACCUGUGCCUGCCCUGGGAACCUUGGGCUGUUACCGAUUCCUCUUCAACCCUCGGCAACAUCUUGGGCCUUCUUUUCCAGCCAGGCGGUAUGGCGCCCCUAGGAGGCUGUGUUUUCUCCCUCAGAACACGGGCACCCCACUGAGGGUCCUGCCUUCUGUGUUCUGGAGCCCCCCCUCAAGGAAGAAACCCGUGCUGUCUGCUCGCAACUCCAGGAUGUUUGGACACCUCAGCCCCGUGAGGAUCCCUCAUCUCAGAGGCAAGUUUAACCUCAGACUUCCUUCAUUAGAUGAGCAGGUGAUCCCAGCCAGGCUUCCGAAGAUGGAGGUGAGGGCAGAAGAGCCCAAAGAAGCAACGGAGGUCAAAGACCAGGUAGAGACCCAGGAGCAGGAAGACAAUAAAAGGGGCCCCUGUAGCAAUGGGGAAGCAGCCUCCACCUCUAGGCCCCUGGAGACUCAGGGAAACCCCACUUCCCCCCGGUACAAUCCCAGGCCCUUGGAGGGAAAUGUCCAGCUCAAGAGCUUGACAGAAAACAACCAGACUGACAAGGCCCAGGUACAUGCAGUGAGUUUCUACUCCAAGGGCCAUGGAGUCGCCAGUUCACACAGCCCUGCUGGAGGCUUCCCAAGGGGAAGGACGCCUCCAGCAAGGCAACAUGGAUAAGAACAUGGGGAUGUCCAAGAGAUGAAAACAGCUGCUUGAGGGGAGAAAGAAGACAUGGCAGGGCAGGUGUGGUGGCUCACGCCUGUAAUCCAGCACUUUGAGAAGCCCAGGCAGGUGGAUCAGAAGGUCAAGAGAUUGAGACCUGAGGAGCAUCUCUGCCUGGUCCCUGCACCAUCUGGGAAGUGAGGAGCGCCUCUGCCCAGCCGCCUCACAGUCUGGGAAGUGAGGAGCACCUCUGCCCAGCCGCCCCACUGUGUGGGAAGAGAGGAGCACCUCUGCCUGGCCACCGCCCCGUCUGGGAGGUGAGGAGCACCUCUGCCCAGCACUCCCCCCGCACCCCCCAUCCCACCGCCUGAGAAGUGAGGAGUGCCUCUGCCUGGCUAGGCACCGCCUGGGAAGUGAGGAGCGCCUCUACCUGGCCGCCUCACAGUCUGGGAAGUGAAGAGCACCUCUGCCUGGCCACUGCAGCGUCUGGGAAGUAAGGAGGCCCCAGCUCAGCAGCCACCGCAUCUGGGAGGUCAGGAGCACCUCUGUCGGGCAGGCCCACUGUCUGGGAAGUGAGGAGCGCCUCUGCCCGGAACCCAACUGUCUGGUAAAUGAGAAGCGCCUCUGCCUGGCCACCCCACCAUCUGGGAAGCGAGGAAUGCCUCUGCCCUGCCCGCCUAUCAUCUGGGAAGUGAGGAACACCUCUGCCCGGCAAUCCCGCCAUCUGGGAAUUGAGGAGCGCCUCUGCCCAAUCCCACCGUCUGGGAAGUGAGGAGCGCCUCUGCCCUGCCCCCGCAAGGUCUGCGAAGUGAGAAGAGCCUCUGCCCAAUCCCACCCUCUGCCAAGUGAGGAGCGCCUCUGCCCUGCCCCCACACCAUCUGGGAAGUGAGGAGCGCCUCUGCCCUGCCACCGCCCCUCUGUCUGGGAAGUGAGGAGCACCUCUGCCCAGCAGCAGCCACGUCUGGGAGGUCAGGAGUGCCUCUGCCCAGCUGCCCCACCAUCUGAGAAGUGAGGGGCGCCUCUGCCCGGCUGCUGUGCAACCGUCCAAGUGUGAAGUGACAGCCUUGUGUGUGAUCUUUCUGCCCUCCCCAAGUUUGCAUUUUCGACAUUAAAGUUUACUUUUAUUUA